rnacentral:tRNA from 1 species
GCCGCGGUAGUAUAGCCCGGUCAAGUUCUGCGCCGAGAGUAUGCGGGCCUUUCGAGCCCGUGACCCGGGUUCAAAUCCCGGCCGCGGCA